rnacentral:rRNA from 1 species
CACCUCAAGAUGAGUAUUCUGUAGUAAGGUCACGGGAAGAACACCCGUUGAUAGGCACAAGGUGGAAGUGCAGUAAUGUAUGGAGCCGAAGUGUACUAAUAGACCGUACCCUUGACCUAA